rnacentral:rRNA from 1 species
CCUACGGGCGGCAGCAGUAGGGAAUAUUGCUCAAUGGGGGAAACCCUGAAGCAGCAACGCCGCGUGGAGGAUGACGGUUUUAGGAUUGUAAACUCCUUUUGUGCGAGAAGAUAAUGACGGUAUCUCACGAAUAAGCACCGGCUAACUCCGUGCCAGCAGCCGCGGUAAUACGGAGGGUGCAAGCGUUACUCGGAAUCACUGGGCGUAAAGGGUGCGCAGGCGGGCUUGUCAGUCAGGUGUGAAAACCUGUAGCUUAACUCCAGAGCUGCAUUUGAAACUAUGAGUCUAGAGUGUGGGAGAGGUAGGUGGAAUUCUUGGUGUAGGGGUAAAAUCCGUAGAUAUCAAGAGGAAUACCAAUGGCGAAGGCGACCUACUGGAACAUUACUGACGCUGAGGCACGAAAGCGUGGGGAGCAAACAGGAUUAGAUACCCUUGUAGUC